CCUACGGGAGGCAGCAGUGAGGAAUAUUGGUCAAUGGACGAGAGUCUGAACCAGCCAAGUCGCGUGAAGGAUGAAUGCCCUCUGGGUUGUAACCUUCUUUUAUAUGGGAAUAAAAUGUUACACUAGUGGGGUUUUGAAUGUACCCUAUGUAUAAGGAUCGGCUAACUCCGUGCCAGCAGCCGCGGUAAUACGGAGGAUCCGAGCGUUAUCCGGAUUUAGUGGGUUUAAAGGGAGCGUAGGUGGGUUGUUAAGUCAGUUGUGAAAGUUUGCGGCUCAACCGUAAAAUUGCAGUUGAAACUGGCAGUCUUGAGUACAGUAGAGGUGAGCGGAAUUCGUUGUGUAGCGGUGAAAUGCUUAGAUAUCACGAGGAACUCCGAUUGCGAAGGCAGCUCGCUGGACUGCAACUGACACUGAGGCUCGAAAGUGUGGGUAUCAAACAGGAUUAGAUACCCGUGUAGUC
rnacentral:rRNA from 1 species